ACGAACGCUGGCGGCCGGCCUCACCCCUGCCAGUCGAGCGCGCCCUUCGGGGUGAGCGGCGGACGGGUGAGUAACGCGUGGGAACGUGCCCUUUUCUACGGAAUAGCCUCGGGAAACUGAGAGUAAUACCGUAUACGCCCUUUGGGGGAAAGAUUUAUCGGAAAAGGAUCGGCCCGCGUUGGAUUAGGUAGUUGGUGGGGUAAUGGCCUACCAAGCCGACGAUCCAUAGCUGGUUUGAGAGGAUGAUCAGCCACACUGGGACUGAGACACGGCCCAGACUCCUACGGGAGGCAGCAGUGGGGAAUCUUAGACAAUGGGGGCAACCCUGAUCUAGCCAUGCCGCGUGAGUGAUGAAGGCCUUAGGGUUGUAAAGCUCUUUCAGCUGGGAAGAUAAUGACGGUACCAGCAGAAGAAGCCCCGGCUAACUCCGUG
rnacentral:rRNA from 1 species